AACGAACGCUGGCGGCAGGCUUAACACAUGCAAGUCGAACGCAUCCUUCGGGGUGAGUGGCAGACGGGUGAGUAACGCGUGGGAGCGUGCCCUUCAGUUCGGGAUAACCCAGGGAAACUUGGGCUAAUACCGGAUACGUGCGAGAGCAGAAAGAUUUAUCGCUGAAGGAUCGGCCCGCGUCUGAUUAGCUAGUUGGUGGGGUAAUGGCCCACCAAGGCGACGAUCAGUAGCUGGUCUGAGAGUAUGAUCAGCCACAUUGGGACUGAGACACGGCCCAAACUCCGACGGGAGGCAGCAGUGGGGAAAAUUGGACAAUGGGCGCAAGCCUGAUCCAGCCAUGCCGCGUGAGUGAGGAAGGCCUUAGGGUUGUAAAGCUCUUUCGUCCGGGACGAUAAUGACGGUACCGGAAGAAGAAGCCCCGGCUAACUUCGUGCCAGCCGCCGCGGUAA
rnacentral:rRNA from 1 species